CUGCCCUGGACGCCGGAGUCCCUCUGCCCGUUGCCAUGGCAGCCGUCAGGCCGAGCUCCACCCCUGCUCAUCUUCCCUAUGUCGCGCCCAGCGAGAGCUCCCAUCGCCGUGCCCCUGGCUGCUCUCUGUCAGCCGAGCGUGUGCCCAGCCGAACUCCUCCCUGCACGCGCUCGAAUUUCUUUCCUUCUCCACCGUGCGGCUCUGCUCGCCGUCGGGUCUCUGUAUCCAUGGCGCGGCUCUGCUGAAGCUCCUCUGCUCUUUUUUUUAACGCGCGCACGCAGUCCAUUCUUCUUCCCCGCCGUGGAGCCAUCCUUGCCGAGCACCGCUUGCCCAGCCAAGUCUCGCCCAGCUGCCCCUGGUGGCCGUCUUCUCUCCCAGCGCCUAGUCCCUACUCCCUGCGCCGCGGUCUCCUCCAAGCUCGCCGAGCUUCCUUGCGCUCGCGCGCAGCCGCUCCUCUGA
rnacentral:misc_RNA from 1 species